rnacentral:rRNA from 1 species
CCUACGGGUGGCAGCAGUGAGGAAUAUUGGUCAAUGGCCGGAAGGCUGAACCAGCCAAGCCGCGUGAAGGACGAAGGUGCCAAGCACUGUAAACUUCUUUUGUCAAGGGACAAAUUCAGGCGCGAGAGUCUGCCCGAGGGUACUUGAAGCAAAAGCAUCGGCUAACUCCGUGCCAGCAGCCGCGGUAAUACGGAGGAUGCGAGCGUUAUCCGGAUUUAUUGGGUUUAAGGGGUGCGUAGGCGGACUGUUAAGUCAGCGGUAAAAGCCCGGGGCUCAACCCCGGCGAGCCGUUGAAACUGGCUGUCUUGAGAUGUGGAGAGGUAUGCGGAAUGCGCAGUGUAGCGGUGGAAUGCUUAGAUAUUGCGCAGAACUCCGAUUGCGAAGGCAGCAGACCGGCGGCGAUCUGACGCUGAGGCACGAAAGCGUGGGUAUCGAACAGGAUUAGAUACCCGAGUAGUC